UACGGAGGGUGCGAACGUUAAUCGGAAUCACUGGGCGUAAAGCGCGCGUAGGCGGUUUGUUAAGUGGGAUGUGAAAUCCCCGGGCUUAACCUGGGAACUGCACUUGAAACUACGAUGCUGGAGUAUGGCAGAGGGAGGUGGAAUUCCACGUGUAGCGGUGAAAUGCGUAGAGAUGUGGAGGAACACCGAUGGCGAAGGCAGCCUCCUGGGCCAAUACUGACGCUCAUGCACGAAAGCGUGGGGAGCAAACAGG
rnacentral:rRNA from 1 species